rnacentral:rRNA from 1 species
AUGUCAACUGUGUCUGAAGUAUGGACCGCUUUGGAGAAGCAAUUUGCUGGGAAAUCAAAUAGAAUGCAGGCAACCCGCAUUAUGGAGGAAUUAGUUCAUCUAAAUCAGGGUACAAAGUCUGUAACAGAAUAUGCUGGGGAAUUGAAACGGCUGUACAGGGAUCUGCACUAUUAUCAUCCUUUUCAACCAGUUGACAAGAAAGAUCUGGCCAUUCAUCACAAAUGGUUUGAGACAAUUGUGGCCAAGCUGUUUCUAGAUGGACUAAAUCAGGAGCUUAACCUUCGACGACAACUCAUAUUCUCUCAACCAGAAUGGCCCAGUCUUGAUGAUAUUAUUUCCAGUGUGCUCGAGGAAGAAACCCGGUUGGCUCAACCCAAGGAGGAGGAUCUAAAAUGUGGAGACGACCGUGCGGCUUUAUCUGUGCAAUACCGCCAUACUCCCAGGCCCUUUGGCAAGAUAGAAAAAAACAAGUUGUUUUGUGAUCACUGUAAAAGAAAAGGACACACAAAGGUUGGAUGUUUUGAGCUGCAUGGAUAUCCAUCAUGGUGGGAAAAAGGAAAAUCUCGGACAGGGGGAGUUCAGAGUGUGAAUAGAAGACAUGCAAACCACACCGCGUCUCUACGGGAGCCACCAGUGGUAGAUGUACGAGCUCUUGAAGAGUUCAACUCCAAGCUUAAACUCUCAGAAAGCUCAUCUUCCUCCCAAGGCACUUCUAAGGUUGAUUCCAAUCUAAUUGCCACUUCUCACCCAGGAGCUAGGGACUGGGAAACAAUUGGGGACUGGGACCGAGCAUGA